rnacentral:rRNA from 1 species
UACAGAGGUCUCAAGCGUUGUUCGGAUUCAUUGGGCGUAAAGGGUGCGUAGGCGGCGCGGUAAGUCGGGUGUGAAAUCUCGGGGCUUAACUCCGAGACUGCAUUCGAUACUGCCGUGCUUGAGGACUGGAGAGGAGACUGGAAUUUACGGUGUAGCGGUGAAAUGCGUAGAUAUCGUAAGGAAGACCAGUGGCGAAGGCGGGUCUCUGGACAGUUACUGACGCUGAGGCACGAAGGUCAGGGGAGCAAACGGG